rnacentral:rRNA from 1 species
UACGUAGGGGGCAAGCGUUGUCCGGAAUCAUUGGGCGUAAAGAGCGUGUAGGCGGCUCGGUAAGUCCGCUGUGAAAGUCCAGGGCUCAACCCUGGAAUGCCGGUGGAAACUGUCGAGCUAGAGUCCGGAAGAGGCGAGUGGAAUUCCUGGUGUAGCGGUGAAAUGCGCAGAUAUCAGGAGGAACACCAAUGGCGAAGGCAGCUCGCUGGAACGGUACUGACGCUGAGACGCGAAAGCGUGGGGAGCAAACAGG